rnacentral:lncRNA from 1 species
AUGACGUUUGAGUUCUGUAGGACAGCUUCCUCUGUUUCCUGUCAGCAUUAUGGAGAAAUGGUGAACCUGGAUUCUUGCCUUUGGGCCGGUCUACAGGCGGACUACCUCACAGAGAAUGCCUCUGACCUUAUGAUUGCGGGGUCCCAGCAAGAAGUCGCACUGUAUUUUUCCCCGUUGCUCCCUGCAGAGUUCAUGUGUUCGGCCUUCUUUCUAAUGAUGGCAAUAAGCAGCUGUUGGCUAUUAUCUGAUGAUGUAAAGUUGGCUGCUGGCUUUUGCACGUAUUCUACUCUUUGGGAUUUGUGAAGGAAGGGGAGUCUCCAGGAACCCAAGGAUGGAUUCCACUCCUAGCUGAGGCUGAGCUGCUUACUGAAAGUAAAUCUUUUAGGUCCUUCAGCACCAGUUACAAGAUU